GGAGGCCACUGGAAGCCCAAAGAUUGCAAACCACGCUGGAAGGUGGCCAUUUUAAUCCCCUUUAGGAAUCGUCAUGAGCAUCUUCCGAUUCUCUUUCAGCACCUCGCCCCUAUGCUCCAACGCCAACGCUUGCAGUUUGCCUUUUAUGCCAUUGAACAGACGGGUACUCAGCCGUUUAACCGUGCCAUGCUGUUU